rnacentral:lncRNA from 1 species
NNNNNNNNNNNNNNNNNNNNNNNNNNNNNNNUCAGCCCCAGCGCUGCCCCUCAGGCCUCCCGUUUCUUGUCUGUGCCUUGGGCACAGGAGAAUUGCACGUUUCAUCCCGUGUUCACGUGGCCUCGGGGAUCAGUGCUUCCUCUCCAGUCGCAAGGCAAGAAACCACCCUAAUUUCGGGGAGACAGGGAAUCCCACAGUAGCUUGUGAGCCCUGCCAGUUGGCUCGGGUGUAGGGAGGGUUGUGGGGUGUUUUGCAGAGUUGUUAUGAGAGGGUGGAAUUGUCCACCUAGAAGGGAUGAGAAUGACCCACAUUGUCUUUAUAUAGGAGAAGGGUGAGAAGUUAGUUCAAAACUCCAACAGAAAGAGGGAGCAGCUGUGGCCCAGACUGCCCAGGGCUGGGCGGGAGCUGGGUAGGGGAUGUACCCGUGGGCAGGAGUUGACCUUCUAGCUGUGGACCAGCCCCGGGCAGCCAGUGGGCCGGUGGGAGGCAGAGGCCAGAGGGUGGGAGGCCAUGGCGGCUCCCGGUGUCCGAGAUCACUGGCUGCCCCUUAGGCAGAGGCCAGAUGACCAGGUGGGGCUGUCGCCUCCUUGGUCACAGCCCCUCCCAGGACAGCCUCUCAGCUGGAGGCAGGGGCUGUGCUGCCGGGUGUGGAUCCUGCCGAUGGGUGGGUGGCACAGACCCCGUUCCACACAGACCUGGGCUUGCUGUGUUUUCUCUCGGGGAGCAAACAGUGCCCUCUGCUGGACUCUUCAGGGAUUGCAGGUGCCCCCGACCCAGAAAGCAGGUUCCUCCGGGAUCAGCCCAGAAGCAGGGCAGCCAGGGGCCGGGCAGGCGUGGAUCUGGGCAGUGAAGGUGUGUGUGAGCCACAGGCACUGUGUGAUCUGUGGGAUGGCAGCGGGGCCAGGGCCAGAGGAUCCCAGAGGGCCUCUGGAAGGCUGGGUGCAGUGGCCCUGCAGGAAGGUGAGAUGCAAAUUUCGGAGGAAAGGAGGGGAGUGGAGGAAGAAAGGAAGCCCCUGGCAGGGGCUGGGGUGGGGCCUGGGGCCUCUGUGGCAGGGGCUAGGGUGGGGCCUGGGGCAGCAAGGGGCCAGCAGGGCUGGGGUGGGGCCUGGGGCCUCUGUGGCAGGGGCUAGGGUGGGGCCUGGGGCAGCAAGGGGCCAGCAGGGCUGGGGGAGCCGCAUUUCAUUGGGGCUCCCAAAGGCCCAGUCUCACUGGAGCAGGGGCCUGGGUCCAAAUCCUGGGGAGGUGGGUUCUUGGGAAGAGCCCAGGAUAUGCAGGGAAAGGCAGGCAUUAGAGAUUGCGCCACAGGAUGGGCUGGGUGGACAGGGGCCCGGCGCUGGGCAGGGGCUCACUGAGGCCUCACGGGGGACAGGAGGAGGGCCUGUGCAGCCUGCUUUCUUCCUCCUCGCCUUUCUGUCCUUGUUCCCAGGGACAGCUCAGAAAAGCUCGCCUCUCCUUCCAUACCUCCGAUGGCCCCCCUCCCAUACCUUCUGCUGUCCUCUCCCAUGGCCACCCCAGGUCCCUGUCAUCUCCCAGAACACUCUACCUUCAAAUCUUCCCUUCUCCCUCUGGCUCCUCGCCACCCCCAGGGAGACCUCAGUGCCCAAGCACGGACCCCUCGGUGUCAACAGGAAAGUUGUUCCUUCCUGGGCUCACGCCAGGCUAAUUCCUCUGGGGGGCCAGAGUGCCAGGCACAGGGCAGGCAGUGUGUUUCCUACAUGAUGGGCAGGAUGAAUGGAGGCCAUGGCUGCAGGGACGGAUGCUGGGAGGGCACACCUGAGUGCCGGCAGCAAGUGUGGAAUGUGGACAUGUAUGGACCAACAGAGGCUCAAAGACCAGAGCUCGAGCCUAAUAACAGAUGCUUCUUUCUGGCAGCUUGGACAGGAGGACCAGACCCGGUCCUGGCCCCAACUCUACUCCAACCCCAGGCACGCACUGAGCCCUGGCCCCAUCCCCUGUGGACCGUAUGGAGGGUGAGACCAUGGGAUGGGUGUCUGCAGGUGUGAGCUUUGCUCCUAACCCAGAGAAGCCAAGAGCUGUCUUCCUGCCUCCUCCCCCACGGUGACUCAGUGCGGUCCCUGGCCACACUCCUCUCCUCUCGCCCCCACCACAGCUCCACACUGACUGAGGGUGCAGGUCCUCUGGGUGACAGGCAGCAGUCCUGGGGGUGGACGGGGGAGCUGACUCAUUGUAGUGGGAGGAGAGGUGUCACAGCUGAAGUCCCCGGAGUUUGGACCCCCAGCCU